GGUUAAUUCAAAUUUUGUCUAAAUUAUGUAGGUUGUGCAAUUUAAGGCCUUGUAAAUAUUAUUUAAUUUAUCAGACGUCUCUGUGUUAUAAUUUCUAUGUUUGUAUAUAGGCUCUGUCUGCCACGGGCACUGCAGCAGGCUGUUUAUUUUGAGAGUGUGUCUGUGUUUAUGUAAAUGAGAUGCCUGUGACUUAUUUAGAGUGACAUUUCCUGUUUACUAAUGAGUGGCUAAUGACUGACUGCAGAGCCAGGGUUAAGGACGACUUCAAUCUGUGUUUUAAGGGAAGAAAUGCAGUUUAUGUUUAUUAUAUUUGUGUGACUGUUGUUGAUUAUGAUAAGUAUUUCAUGAUAACUGUAGAAUAUGAGUAUGGGGUUUGCUUGACACGUGUCUGUACUAGGUAAAACUGUGCAAAACUGAUAGGAAGUUUAUAGGGACUGCUACACAUGGCUGAUGCCUGUAUUUAAGACGCUGGAGUUGUUUAUUACAAUAUUUUUUGUUAUUUUCAGGAGUAAAGCAGACUUGGACCGGCUCUCCACAGCAGCAGUCGGAAGAAAGUUAGAGGUUAACAUCUAUGGAUAACUUAAGGCAAGUUUCUGGUUGAAUUGUUCACAGCAUGAUGUGUCCAGGAACCUGAAAAGCAAGCCCUAGCUCCUGGCUGAAGACUAGGAGUGCUUUAUUUAAGGUGGGAAAUCAAAACAGAGGGUUAGUAAUUCGGGGAAAAAGAAAACUGACUGCUUAACUGGAGAAUUGGAAAGGUGUCUGACAGACUGCGAAGCCAUGGAUGCAAAAUACCACACACAAACAGAAAAUGUAUUAACCGUACAAAGACAAGCUCAUGAAGCUUGUCUAAUCAAAGCUUAAUGCAUAGAGAUAUUGAUUUAAAACCUGGCUAAGAACAUAAGCAUAUGCAAUGAAGAUCUGCUUGCUGCUUGUAUGAGUGAGAGAAUGGUGUGAAUGGUUAAUAAAAUUGAUGGAAAGAUUUAAAAUAGAUGGAAAAACACAAGAAAACUAUUAAAGCAGUUUUUAAAAGGGUGACUUAGGAGUGCUCUUGCACUGAUUGAUCAAAACAAGUGAUUAGUAUAGAAAGAAAAUGAAAAUAAUUGAAUAAUAUGAUAAGUUUAAACAUGUAUUUCUCUUGUCAAGUUGGCUGUUGAGCUGUGAGUCACUAUGCAAAUUAGCUCGAGUGAGUGACGACAGAGGAGCUUGCUGUGUGUGUGUGAUUGAGGCCUUGAGGAAAGGAAGCAAAGUAGACUGUUCAGAGGUGCAGAUUUGGACAGGAAAUUUAUAAUUUAGUGUUGACACAUUGUUAUAACGUGUUUAUAUUUUAGGCUGAAUCUAAGUAUGGUGAAGAUACAUUGUUGUAAAGGGGACCAUUGUUGUGUGUAAAACGGUGCAGUUUGGACAAGGUUUUCAGUGGGUUGAAAGGGUGAAAUUUAAGAUUGUUUGAAAUUUUGUGGGGCUGUUGUUUUCAUUUUAAUAGAG
ensembl:lncRNA